AAGUCGUAACAAGGUUUCCGUAGGUGAACCUGCGGAAGGAUCAUUACCAAAUCCAAAUCCUAAACCACAUGUGAACUAUUGUAUAGUCUGUCUUUGGGAGAGAAAAAUAGAAAAAUUUAUGAAAUUAAUAACUUCAUUAUCUUUUUUUGGAUUUCUCUCCCAAUAGAGUCCGGCGCGACUUUACUGUUGUGUCCAGAUUCGAAACCCCCCUUUAUAAACCACUUGAUUUUUCUGUUGGAAUUUCCUUUUAUUAAUUAUAAAUAAAAGACAACUUUUAACGGUGGAUCUCUUGGCUCGU
rnacentral:misc_RNA from 1 species